rnacentral:rRNA from 1 species
AAGGCCUUCGGGUUGUAAAGUACUUUCAGCGGGGAGGAAGGGAGUAAAGUUAAUACCUUUGCUCAUUGACGUUACCCGCAGAAGAAGCACCGGCUAACUCCGUGC